CCAGCAGCUGCGGUAAUUCCAGCUCCAAUAGCGUAUAUUUAAGUUGUUGCAGUUAAAAAGCUCGUAGUUGGAUUUCGGGCGCGUCGCGUUGGUCCGCCAAUGGUGAGUACUGGCGUCGGCGCGCCUUCCUGCCGGGGACGGGCUCCUGGGCUUCACUGUCUGGGACUCGGAGUCGGCGACGUUACUUUGAGAAAAUUAGAGUGUUCAAAGCAGGCCUACGCUCGAAUACUUUAGCAUGGAAUAACACGAUAGGACUCUGGCCUAUCCUGUUGGUCUGUAGGACCGGAGUAAUGAUUAAGAGGGACAGUCGGGGGCAUUCGUAUUUCAUUGUCAGAGGUGAAAUUCUUGGA
rnacentral:rRNA from 1 species